rnacentral:misc_RNA from 1 species
GGCGACUGUUCAUUUGAUUGUACCAAAGGUCCAGCUUGUGAUUUAGGCACACUGAACAAUACCACAGGCUGUGAAGCUGGAUCUUGUGGUGUAUCUAUCUUUGUACUUAGAUUCGCAAGUGAAGCUGGUUUAUCGGAAUUUGUAUCAGCCUUUUUAUCAAGUAUGGCAACCAAAGGUCGAGACAGGAUUGUUGGGGACUCAGACCUUGUACUAUCUGAAGAAGGUGUAAUGGGUAAGGUAUCCAAUUUUUGAGUGCUUUGAAGAGAUGACGACUGCGUCAGAGAAGCUACUGAUGAUUGAGAGAUCUUUUGAUUGGAACCUAUACUGGCUUUAGAAACGGAUUCGAAUGAUGUCCACGGGGAUGAUAUUGGUGACAACAUUGGCUCUUGUGAAGAAGAUAAAGAUGCUGACGGCAUGAUUUUUACAUGCGAAGAGGAAC